rnacentral:rRNA from 1 species
UACGGAGGGGGCUAGCGUUGUUCGGAAUUACUGGGCGUAAAGCGCGCGUAGGCGGAUCUGCAAGUCGGGGGUGAAAUCCCGAGGCUCAACCUCGGAAUUGCCUUUAAGACUGCAUCGCUUGAAUCCGGGAGAGGUGAGUGGAAUUCCGAGUGUAGAGGUGAAAUUCGUAGAUAUUCGGAAGAACACCAGUGGCGAAGGCGGCUCACUGGACCGGCAUUGACGCUGAGGUGCGAAAGCGUGGGGAGCAAACAGG